rnacentral:rRNA from 1 species
UACGUAGGAUGCAAGCGUUAAUCGGAAUUACUGGGCGUAAAGCGCGCGUAGGCGGCUUUGCAAGUCGGGUGUGAAAUCCCCAGGCUUAACCUGGGAACUGCAUUCGAGACUGCAUUGCUAGAGUAUGGGAGAGGGAAGUGGAAUUUCCGGUGUAGCGGUGAAAUGCGUAGAUAUCGGAAGGAACAUCAGUGGCGAAAGCGACUUCCUGGACCAAUACUGACGCUCAUGUGCGAAAGCGUGGGGAGCAAACAGG